rnacentral:lncRNA from 1 species
UUUCGACAUAAGCUACUGCAGUUGUGUGGACGUGUUGCGUGCAGCCGACAUCAUUUACCCAAAUAUCAGGACAGUUACAAGAGCUCACAGAUGACGAAACAGUCAGCACUGAUGAUUCAUACAGGAUUUGAGAAGCACCCAAAGUCAGCAUGGAUUGUCGAACCAGGAUACUUCAGUUUGAAAGCUUUCGGACAGUACUCGCAGUGCAGUAGCUGAUCUUGAGCUUGCGAGAGCCUGUGAGCAGAUCUAGCCUAUAGUAUGCAAAGGUGCAGUGAUGGGCAAAAUGGAACUGAAAGAAAGCAGUUAAGGAUAGACAGGCUUUUUCAGUUUCGCAGCGACGUCCUAACUUCGUAAUGGCAAGGUGAUGGAUGUUGCUGCUUGUUGAGUUUUUCAUGUCUUGUCAAGUUUGCGCCUGAAAGAAGAGGUGAUGGAGGGACACACCCUGGGGCCUAUGCACCUUCACGUUCAGUCGUACCUUUGGACUGUGUUAAAUAUUUCAAUAUUGGAACAGUUGAUCAAUGGUAAUUGUUCAAAUACAGUAAGUUGCUCUGGAGUGACUGGUAUCUUUCCGUAAGUGUUCAACAUAUGUAAAGGCUUCUUAAGUGAUGGAAAUUUAACCUCUGCUGCAUCUUAUACCUUUCAUCUUGAAACUUCUACAUUCGAGAAGUAUUGAUAAAUGUCCGUUGUUAAUAUAUUGGUAUAAGUAAAUGUCAAUUUAACAUUAUACACCACACUUUGGCCAUAUUACUUGUAAGAAUAAUCUAAUUAUCUAUACUAUCUACUCUAUGCUGGAUGUAUCUCUAAUUUGAACGUUAACUGUAAGUACACGAUAGUUAAUUUUGCAUUAACUGUAUAAUCUUGCAAAGAACUCAUAAGGUUCUAUACAUGUACAGUGUUCUAGCCAGGCAUCAAAUAGCGCU